rnacentral:rRNA from 1 species
GACGAACGCUGGCGGCGUGCUUAACACAUGCAAGUCGAACGGAAAGGCCCUGCUUUUGUGGGGUGCUCGAGUGGCGAACGGGUGAGUAACACGUGAGUAACCUGCCCUUGACUUUGGGAUAACUUCAGGAAACUGGGGCUAAUACCGGAUAGGAGCUCCUGCUGCAUGGUGGGGGUUGGAAAGUUUCGGCGGUUGGGGAUGGACUCGCGGCUUAUCAGCUUGUUGGUGGGGUAGUGGCUUACCAAGGCUUUGACGGGUAGCCUGCCUGAGAGGGUGACCGGCCACAUUGGGACUGAGUUACGGCCCAGACUCCUACUGGAGGCAGCAGUGGGAAAUAUUGCACAAUGGGCGGAAGCCUGAGGCAGCAACGCCGCGUGCGGGAUGACGGCCUUCGGGUAGUAAGCCGCUUUCGCCUGUGACGAAGCGUGAGUGACGGUAAUGGGUAAAGAAGCACCGGCUAACUACGUG